AGGCAUAUUUGGCUUCUAAAGGUAUUAUUCACCAACGUUCAUGUCCCGCUACUCCCCAACAGAAUCGAGUAGACGAACGCAAAAAUCGUCAUCUCCUAGAUGUGCAGUUCUUGGAUCUUCAUCAAUUUAGUUCUUGCUUUAAACCAGGCAUUGUGUGUACGAGAUGCUCUCGACCAAUCAUUUCCGGUGGUUCACCUGAUUUUUGAUCCUACCACGCUCCAGAUUCAGUCAAUUGCAGCACCUCCAGAGCCUUUGGUACGUCCCUCUCCUUGAGUGUCUGUACCCCCGGAUAGCUUUAAUUUCCCUUGGGUCCUCAUCUGGCAAACGGCAGUCCCCUCAAAGGUCUCUUCUUUUUAACAUGGGAGAAACCUCUGGAGCUUUGCCAUUUCCAUGGUCAGGAAGAGAUGGGUUGCUGCGAAUUCAGAGGGUGAAUUAUGGGCUUCGGCUGGAUCCAAGCAAAUACUGUCAGAAGGAAAUCUCUUUCACUCAUUCCCCUAGCUGAUUUCUGAACUGUCUGGAGGGAAAGGAACAGAAUAGCUUUUGAGGGAACAUCUGCCCCUCUGCGUGUUGUUGUUGGUUAGCAUAGCUAUGAUUUCUAAUUGGCACAGUAAGAUGCUGGGAGGGACAUUUAUGUAUUCUUGAUUUUCAUUACACCUUACAGUGACGGUUGUUAUGUUUUCAUUUCUCUGUUGUACUUGGGUGGCAUCCCCUUGAUGCUUUUCCCCUCAUUAAUAAAUGUCCCUUUGUGAUAAAAAAAUAAAAAAAAUUAUAAA